UCCUCUGUAAAUUCGUGCACAGUCCCUAAAAAUUUAAAUAACCUCAUAUAGUGUGUGCUGUGUGGAGUUUGGCUGAAGCCAACAUAGAGUGUGUUGGUGCCAUCACUUGGCAAAGUUUAGAAACGGAAAUUGCCCUGUGACACCUACCAUGGUGGUGACGGGUGACGGAGAAUUAGGGUUCGAUUUGGUCGAUUAAGACAGCAGGGCGGUGGUCAUGGAAGUUGAAAUCCGCUAAGGAGUGUGUAACAACUCACCUGCCGAAUCAACUAGCCCCGAAAAUGGAUGGCGCUGAAGCGCGCGACCCAUACCCGACCGUCGAGGCAAGUGCCAGGCCUCGAUGAGUAGGAGGGCGCGACGGUCGCCGCAAAACCUGGUGCGCGAGCCCAGGAGGAGCGGUCGUCGGUG
rnacentral:ncRNA from 1 species